GAUGAACGCUAGCUACAGGCUUAACACAUGCAAGUCGAGGGGAAACGACAUCGAAAGCUUGCUUUUGAUGGGCGUCGACCGGCGCACGGGUGAGUAACGCGUAUCCAACCUGCCCACCACUUGGGGAUAACCUUGCGAAAGUAAGACUAAUACCCAAUGACGUCUCUAGAAGACAUCUGAAAGAGAUUAAAGAUUUAUCGGUGAUGGAUGGGGAUGCGUCUGAUUAGCUUGUUGGCGGGGUAACGGCCCACCAAGGCGACGAUCAGUAGGGGUUCUGAGAGGAAGGUCCCCCACAUUGGAACGGAGACACGGUCCAAACUCCUACGGGAGGCAGCAGUGAGGAAUAUUGAUCAAUGGACGAGAGUCUGAACCAGCCAAGUAGCGUGCAGGAUGACGGCCCUAUGGGUUGUAAACUGCUUUUAUAAGGGAAUAAAGUGAGUCUCGUGAGACUUUUUGCAUGUACCUUAUGAAUAAGGACCGGCUAAUUCCGUG
rnacentral:rRNA from 1 species